rnacentral:lncRNA from 1 species
AUAAAAAAAUGCCCCUUCGAGUCUUGGGGCAUUCUAUAAUGUCAAUGAAGAAAAAAUAAAGCUUCUAUUUAAUUAUAUCUUAACAUUUUAAAAUUUGGAUUGUUGCAUGUUUGGUAGAAAGUCCCACCAUCUUUCCCCCAGGUUUCUUGUCGCCACCCUCCCCCCAGGCUUCCUGCUGCCCUGAGAAAAGCCCGCCAAGCCUGCUCUGUUCUGCCCAGCAACAACAAGCAGCCAAUCAUCGCAGCAGGAAAGCCCGCCAAGCCUCGGCCUAUCCUGAACCGACACGUAACCCUCUGAGCCACCUCAGCAGUCUGCCCAGAGAUGGACAGCCUAUCCUAAGCUCCUAUGACACUCCGCCAGCCCUGUGUCCAUGCCCCAUCCACCCCCCCUAUAAAACCCUCCUACCCCAGCUGCGCAGUCGCAGCCAGCCCCAAUCUCCUUCCUUUCCUGGCCUGCCCGCUGGUCCCAAUAAACCUGAACUCGGCUUCCAACUCUCGAGCUGUUAUUUGGGGUCGGGUACCGGGCAGGGGUCUACAAGGGGGUUGCACAUAUGGUGCUGAAACCUGGGAUGGAGGGUCGCUAGCCCCCCUAGUGACCCCCUCCGUCCAGCGACCUCCCCAGCCCUCCUCCAAUUCGGCCUCAGCACUCCGGACCAGGUGGCCUGGCCCCAGUAUCAGCUCGAUAACAGGUCGCAUUGGCCUCCCACCGGCACUUUCGAUUUCAAUGUGCUCCGCGACCUCGAUAACUUCUGCCGCUGAACUGGCAAAGAUAAGGAAGUGCCUUAUGUUCAGGCUUUUUGGGACCUGCGUUCCCAUCCUGACCUCUGCUCUUCUUGCUCUACUCACCAAGUUCUUUUAGCCCGAACUCCCCCACCACAGACUCCUACCUCCCCAACCAAGCCACCUCCCUAUACUCUACAGGAAAAGAUGCCUGACCACAUGUCUUCCCCCUUUGUUCCCACUCCGGAAGUCCACUACCUCUCCCCCUCCCUACUCCUCACUGGAGGAUCUGCCUGAACAUCUGUCCUCUCCUGCCAAUCUCAGCAAUCAGUCGCUAUCAACGGCACGCUCUUCCUCUGCUCCCUCUGCACCUCCUACCUCGGAGGCCAUGCCUCGCUCUCCCUCUACUCCCUCUGAGCCCCCUCCCUCAGAGGCCACACUUCCUCUUGCCUCUCCGGUGGCGGCCCACAC